UACGAAGGGGGCAAGCGUUGUUCGGAAUUACUGGGCGUAAAGGGCGCGUAGGCGGUGCACUAAGUCAGGCGUGAAAGCCCGGAGCUCAACUCCGGAACUGCCAUUGAAACUGUUUAGCUUGAGGAUGAGAGAGGUGAGUGGAAUUCCCAGUGUAGAGGUGAAAUUCGUAGAUAUUGGGAAGAACACCGGUGGCGAAGGCGGCUCACUGGCUCAUUACUGACGCUCAGGCGCGAUAGCGUGGGGAUCAAACAGG
rnacentral:rRNA from 1 species